UGAAAGUAAGAUUAUCACUCUUUUUCCUUCUUUAACUUUCCGAACUGCAAAAGAUUCCAAGAAACAAGUUAUGCCCAUGUGGAUCAAAGAAAAAAUACAAGGCUUGUUGUGGAUCUGUAUCAGGGAGGUCCUUGAAUAAACUUAUAGUUAACCAAACAACGGAGGUCAGAAAGGGUAAAAAGGAGCGGAAACAAGGCAAGAAAGGAGUAUCUGCGAAAUCUGCAGCAUCUCCUAGAUCUGAUGGAGGGCCACCUGACAUGGGAGCACUUUGCAUAUGAGCUUAGUAUCAUAUCUAAUACAUGCCAUGGGUAGGAUCUUAUCCUUACAUGCUCUUCCAAUUUGCUUCCAACUGUCCGACUACGACAUAUGCUGGCAGUCUCUGGAAAAUGAAUAUGAGUUCUCAAUGCCCUCUAUGUUCCCGGGAUUCCUUAUCCAGCCAAUUGUUAUGCAGGCAGGAUUGACAGUUUCUGCUAUCCACUCCUAACUUUAUUUUUGAGAUUCCUUGUAAAUGGUAUCUUUGGCAAAACAUGAGAUUAUACAAACAUAGAAUGAUGAUGAAGAAAAGGGAAGUACUAGAAAUGGUAUAGGUUCUUGUUUUAAAGAUGCUACCCUACAUUGUUUUAACAUUCGGCCUAACUUUUAAGUAUACGAGGCA